UACGUAGGGUGCUAGCGUUGUCCGGAUUUAUUGGGCGUAAAGGGCUCGUAGGCGGCCUGUUGCGUCCGCUGUGAAAGCCCGGGGCUUAACCCCGGGUCGGCAGUGGAUACGGGCAGGCUAGAGGUAGGUAGGGGAGAAUGGAAUUCCCGGUGUAGCGGUGAAAUGCGCAGAUAUCGGGAGGAACACCGGUGGCGAAGGCGGUUCUCUGGGCCUUACCUGACGCUGAGGAGCGAAAGCGUGGGGAGCGAACAGG
rnacentral:rRNA from 1 species